UCAUGAAAGAGUUGGUCUUACUCAUGAUGACAAGGCACAAGAUUUGAAUGUGUCAUAUACGUGUGAAUUCAGCCAUGCUGAACCACGCUGAGCUGUGCUGUGAUUAACUCCCACAAAAUCUGCCAGAACUAUAUAACCUGUAUGACUAUAUUUUUCUGGGAAACCUGUCAACGAAUAGAUUUGAUGUUGGAGAAACCUACUGACAUUGAAGUAGAUUGUUUUUGUCUGUUUUUUUUUAUUUAGUUUUCUUAACAUAUUGUGCUCUCCUCAUGCCUCUAAUACUUAAUUGGAGCUUAUUCCAAGUAAAGAAAUUCCCUCUUCUGUAAAUUUGCAGGUCAAUGAUGUGUGAGAUUUGUUUUUUUUCCCAUGAAUAUCUUAUUUAUAUGUGUGCAUUUGUGAAUGAAAUGUGCCCAAACAAAACUACUUACCAUGCUUAUGUGGCUGGGUUAAUAUAUUUUUCAUUUAUUUUUAAUUAUUUUUUUUGGGUGAACGUUCUCAAAACUUUUGUGUAAUAUUCUUUGUCAUAAAGUUGGAGUGACAUUUUAUUUCUGGCUCCAUUUUGAAUAGUUUUUUUUUUUAUAGUUCCUGUUUACCUGUUGUAGCAAGGGGGGCUUUAAUUAACGACGUACAAAACGACGCAUGAGUGACGUAGCUGCACGCUCCCCGUCAAAAGCUGAAAAACGUUCGUGCCGGUAAGGGCGUGUUGUGAUGUUUGUUAAGCUGCGCACAAUUAAAACUAACUUCUGUUGGUUUAAACUGCGUGUAACUGUAACUAUACAUCAUCGUGUAUGUGUUGCUGAGUUUCACACUUAGUUUUGCUGGUUAAAAAAAAAAAAAAAAAAACUCCCAUUACUUAUUAAAUCUGUGGAGUUUAGUGAGUUUUGUCCUCAUUAUUAUUUUCCCUGUGACUCGCUGCAGGGGUCAGAGAGUGAGAGCCGGCCGCCGUGAGUCGUGACUGUGCCCCUGCUGCUCCUCAAGAGUAAAUGUGCAGAUCCUGAUCCCUGGUGGGACUGGUCUUCUUCAACCAUUCUACAGCUGCUACUCUGAAGAACACUUUAAAGGAUGGUGUCCUUGACGGCAUGGAAGACAAAGCGGAUAUUUUCUGUGUCCACCGCUGUGGUGAAGUGGUGGAACAGCGGUUUCCCCCGGUUUCUCCUUUUACGACUGAACGACUG